rnacentral:rRNA from 1 species
CGACGGUGAGUAACACGUAUGCAAUCCACCUGUAACAGGGGGAGUAACCCGGAGAAAUCCGACUAAUACCCAUAAUAUGGGCGCUCCGCAUGGAGAGUCCAUUAAAGAGAGCAAUCUUGGUUACAGACGAGCAUGCGCUCCAUUAGCCAGUUGGCGGGGUAACGGCCCACCAAGCGACGAUGGAUAGGGGUUCUGAGAGGAAGGUCCCCCACAUUGGAACUGAGACACGGUCCAA